UUCCGGGGCGGCUCUAAUUAGCUGGAAGGAAAGCUUGCGCUGUGGCCUAGCAGAUGAGAAUAGUCAGGCACAGUGGGACAGGUUGGACCAUUCACCUGAUGAUAGAUGUGGGAUGAGAAAAAGAACUGGAACUUAAGUUGGAAUUAGGGGAUGAAUAAAACCCAUAAACUGUAGGAAGGAAGACAGCUCUGAAAAUGAAGAAAUCCAGGCUCCAGGAGUGCAGAACCUGGGUAACUCAAAACUAUGGAUCCCUUCUAUGAAUAUGGGUGAGGAGUAACAGAAACAAACGCCUGAAAGACAGCUGCAUCACUAAAAGCCCACUGCAGCAUGGAUGACAGCUCAUGAAAGCUGGAAACAUGGAGUACACCCAGGCAGCUCAGUGGGAGAGUGCCUUUUCCAGGCAGCCUGUCUAAUCUGAGAGUAUCUCUCACCAGUCCACGUGGCUUCUAUAUGCUUGUGAGCUUAAUCAGCUUCCCUACAGGAUUGAAUGUUUGACUUCCCUUUAGAACAUUCUGAGUCUUAAAGAACUUCCCUGAAAAAUGGUGUUUCUGUUAACAAACUUGCUUGUAUUCUAGGACUAAACACUUAAGUAAUAAAGUAUCAUGUCUGGAACUUA